GUAUUUGAUUUUUCUUUAGGUGGGUAUCUGUUUGCUCUUUAUUUAGCUUCAACUUUGUAACCGCACAUUUACAUUUUCGCCUAUUUAUGCACGAUUGCAUUCUAUGCCAUUCAAGACUCAAAACUCUUCCAGAUUCAAUGAAUGUAUCUUGUACCACUUAGGUUGAUGCUGUGGCCCUCCUAGGAGAGAAGGGAGCUGUAGAAGCUGGCAGAGGCAGACAGAGCUCACUGCGGCCACGAUCUUCUGUGCUACAGACAAGGCCACCACUGCGCCCCUGCCUCCAACUGCUCUGCUGGUACCUAUGGAAAAGGCUCUUUCUCAGAUACCCCAACUCCUUCUGCAAUUGGAGGGCAAGCUAGAAUGAAUGAGCAUGGGUUUUGGUCCCAACAUCGGAAGAAGAACCCUAAUUCUUGCUGUGGAUGGUGAAUGUGGUCCCUGAGGUGAGUCUCUCCCUGGGAGGAUUACAUCUGCCUGGUUUAAAGUUUCACGUCCAAACAUCAUGACCAAAACCUAAAAGCUUGCUACAGAAAAAAAAGUAUAAAUUUGGGAAAAGAGCCUUCCUUCUCUGGGGAAAAUUAGCCUGGAUCCUAAGAGGAAAGUUAUUUGAGCAAGCUCCAUCUAUGAGACAAGAAGUGCAAACAGGUUGUGGCCUGCCAUGAUGGAACCCCACCAGAAACUCCCCAUGUGAGCAGUCACUGUAAAUGUGUCUUUCUCCACUGCCUUGAGGGAGAUGCCUACAUGCCACCCACAUGUCAUGAGGAAUCAUAACAUCAAGUUUACAUUGAAAGCAGUU
rnacentral:lncRNA from 1 species